rnacentral:lncRNA from 1 species
AUAUACAGGGUGACCACAAAGUAUCCGCACACGAGACGGUUUCAUCUUGUGAAAAUAUAAGCAUAAAAGCACUUAUAAUGGUGCGCGUUUCUCCUUAUCGUCAACUUUUCUCUAUGGCCGCCAUCGAGCCCCGAUCUUAACCCGAUGGAUUUCUCAGUCUGGAGCGUCCUAGAAGCAAAGGCAUGCCAAAAGCCGCAUAAAAAUAUUGAAAGUUUGAAAAAAUCACUACUAAAAGCUUGGGAUUCUCUGGACCCUGCCUACUUGCUCGCCACUGUCGAAGCAUUCCCGAAACGCCUAAAGGCCUGUUAUUUUGCUGAUGGAGGAAAAUUCGAAUUCAAUCUUUGAAUCAUAAUUGUUAUAGUUCAAUAAAUGUUUUAAAAUAAAAUUUGUGUUCCAAAUA